AAAGUUACAAUUCAAGAUUUUCUUUAUGCAGCUAUUCACAAGUUUUUGUGGAACUAUUAUGUAUGUGUGAUUGAUAGUGGUGCUUUUUGCCAACUUCUUAGAGAAAAGGAUUGAGAUAAAGGAGAUAAUUUGUAAAUUAUGUGGCCAUAAGACUUAAGGUAAUUAAAGACAAUAUUAUUUAAUCUUGUGGUGUGG